CUUCCAUUUACAAGCCUGUAUUCCUUCCUAGGAGCAGCAUGGAGAGUGGAAGGGGGAGUUGGUGACUCAGGCGGGGAUGUGACCACCAUGGGAAGUGGGGCCUUGCCUGAGAAAUGGAUGUGAAGAAGCCAAAGUGAAGGGGGCAGUCCAAUAAGGAACACUGGCAGAGACAAAGGGAGAGACCAAGCAAGUAAUCCAGCUCCCACUGAAAUGAUACAUCUAAUAUUACAGAAAUAGCAGGCUGUGGUCUCAGCUAAUCCUGACAGUCAGCACCAGGAACAGAGGCUUGCUCCAGGCUCUGUGUCUGAGCAUUGCAAAAUGAAGCUGCUGCAUCAGAAUACAACAGAGCAAGAGACAGCCAGACAGAGGGAGAGCUGUUCUCAUCUCCAAGCAGAAAAUCAAAACCUAUCAACCCUGCAGUGAACCUGAGUCAGCUGCUGGCUGUCUGCGCCAAAAUGAAUUUGUCUGGCAGCAGCAUGGAGAAUUAAUUUAAAACAGAAAGAAAAUGAAAUUUUAACUGCAAUAGCAAUGUUUGUGAUUUGUAGCAUGGUAGCUUACACCUUGCUACUUCCCAGCAUGUUGAAAGCAUGCACUCUCCCAGUGAACU